AAAAAUUUAUUAAUUACUUAAUUUUAUUUUAUUUAUUUUAUUUUCUCCUUAUUUGGACAUAACUUUGAAUAUCCAUUUAUUAAAUUUCUAGUUAAUAAUUUUGAUUUGUUGGAUUGGUACAACUGGACGAAGCCUUGUCGGUUGACCAGCCAGCGAUUUCCUCUUCUUCUUGUUCUAAAAGGCCUAGCUGUGGCAUCUCAAAAUGUAGCAUGUGAUUUGAAUUAUGAAAUAUCUAAAUUUUUUACUACAAAAUUUUUCUUUUAAAUUAUGCUAAAGUAGCAUAAAUGUAAAUCUACAAUGCCUGAUUGAAUUUUAUAUUUGAAUAACCCCAGUUGGGUUUUUUUUAUUUUACCAUUAAUUUUGAAUGACCGGACAAAUAUAAUACCAGGAUAAAUACAGGAUGUAGGAGACUAAACAUUUUCCAUAAACUCAAGCAAAUUCCAAAUUUUGGAAUUCAAGUACAGUAUGAAAGUUAAAUUUCCAUUUACAAUUCGAAGUGGGGUAAGCAGAACACUUGUUUUACAAUUCGGCUUCUAAUUCAACCAAGUCCAUCGAAUUUUAUGAGUUUCAAACUUCGUUAAUCGUCGCUUAUCUACGAUUCCACAUCACACUGAAGCUUCAGUUGUAGGCCUACCGGGUUACUAACAUAGAUUUAAUAAUCAAAACUUGUAAACUGAAUAUUUUGUAACUUCAGAAAUGAAAUUGAUUUUUAAUGUUGAAAAUAUAAGAUUCAAUCGGA